rnacentral:lncRNA from 1 species
CGUCACAUCAGAAAUCACUCGUGCACUCAGAUCGAGUAACCCCAGAGUGCAGUCUGGACGAUGGGGCGGGGCGACACUUCGAGGCGGAGCGACACGUGUCGCCCCGCCCAUAUUUGUUUUCCCCGCCUUUGACAUUUUCCUCCGAGCCAGCAGGGGGCAGUUUGCGUUGAAACAAACAGAACGGUGGCAACUACAGCAGCAGAGUAAUAACGCUAUUCCGUUGAUUGCUUGAGGUGAGUAAAAGUGGUUGUGUAAAUAUCUUAUAAUAUGAAAUGCGAUGUUCGAUCAUUUAUUUAUCCAUGGUACGUUCAAUUUGAAUAAUUAUUGUUAAUAAUUGUUAUAAAUUGCUCAUUUUAUUGUUCUUUGUGGAUUGUAACAGUACACUCUGUACAUGGCUUUAGUUCAUAGGUUCGAUUUUACAGAGGUAUGGCAUCACAUUUGUCAAGUUAUUUGAACAGACAUGCAUGAUUUUUGUGUGUAUAUUAUUAUUAUUAUUAUUUUUCAGGAUGACAUGAUCAGGAGGUGGUGGUGUUCUGUUCUCCUGGACAGCUUUACUCCGCAAAUAGCUCAACCACUGAGGGGAGGAACUUCACCAUUCACCAUGUCUUCAGGCAGAGUCCAGCAAAGCAGCUUCCACUGGAAAUCCUCAGGGAAGUUAUUUUGUCGGCGGGUGACUCUGCAUAUUUGACACUUUCUCUGGUUUGCAGAUGGUUUAGGGUUGUGCUCCGAAGUUUUUCGGAAAGCGGCACAGUUUGCCUGGCUAGAGAGUAAGAUUUCCCCGUUUAAUGCUCAUUCUCCAAUUGAAUUUUGUAGUAGAAGGCUGUUAAACUUUUUUUGUAUUAUUAUUAUUAUCUUUCAUGUAUUUUGUCUUUACACUAUAAGUUGUGGCCAACUGGAAGAAUUGUCCUCCUGUCUCCUGACCGGAACGAGUUCAGACGGAUGUACAGCAUCAUGGAAUGCUUGCAGUGCAGAGCCCUUUUCAAGUUUAACCCACCAGGGUACAGGGAAGAGACCGGCGUGGUGAUCUUCUGGGCUUUUGUUUACACAGGAUUUUGUUCCAAGGACUGUUUUUUUUUUUUUUUUUUUUUUUUUUUUUUUUUUGCGGCAUGAAACACAUUUGUGUGUUAAGUUCAUUGAAGGGAAAUAGAGAAUGGGCUGAGAUCAACUGGUUUUGAUUAUUAAUUGAUGUAAUUUAAAGUUAAACUUUGCACUGUAUAAUGUUUUAAUAAAAAAGCUAUGGAAAACACGUGCAUGACAACAGGUUUCAGUCAUUUACAUCAGUCUAUCAUUCUUUAAGGUUUCUCAUAUUUGAUGAUAACAUGAUUUGCUAUGCAUUGCUCAUAAUGGAUUCUUAGUUUAGUUGUGACAGGAUUGUGAGGAUUAAUGAGGUUUUCAGUAGUGCAGUUCAGAAAACAAAUAACAGAAAGUAACAAGUGUUUUUGGGCAAGUUCUUUAGAACCUGUAUAGUUCCUUCCUUGCAAAAAGUAACCAUAGAUUUAUUGUAGUAAAAAUAUUUGUUGGCACAUUAAUUACUGUGAGCUGUAAUUAUAAAAACACCAUAGUUUUACUAUAGUUACUGUAGCAGAACCAUAGUAAGACUGGUGACAAUUUGUUACACACACGACACACAUACACACACACAUAUAUAUAUAUAUAUAUAUAUAUAUAUAUAUAUAUAUAUAUAUAUAUAUAUAUAUAUAUAUACACACACACACACAUAUAUAUGUAUGUAUAUAUUAUUUGAAUAUAUAAAUCAAGGUACUCCAUGACUAUCUACAUAACCAUACUUCGCAUAAUAUUGCCGUGUCAUUUUCAAACCAGCGAGUAAUGCCGAGGUAGCGUCUACACUACAGCCAUUGAGGGAGUAGACCAUUUAUUUUUAUUCUGUUCGUCGUAAUCCAAAACUCUUUGUAUUUAUACGGGAUGUUGUGGAAAUGCAACAAUAAAUGCAAAAACACAACAUGUAUAUUCACUUUUUAAUUUAUAUUAAAAGUUUAUUCAUCUUAGUGUCUACUUCCGCAUUCCAAUCCUGCUAAUAGCGUCAUAAUUCUCUAUACCAAUAAGCUGUAAAAUCGUCACUCAUCUGUACACCAAUAAGCUCAUCUUAAUCAUAAACCAAUAACCGCUGAGGUGGGCGGGGCGACACGUGUCGCUCCGCCCCAACGUGUCGCCCCGCCCCAUCGUCCAGACUGCACUCUGGGAUACUUGCUCAGAUCAGUUGGACGUGGUUGUGUACAAGAGGUAAAAACAAUAUAAAUACUGUUCUUUUUCUUACACAAACCGCUCGUUUCGUGUCUUAGGUCAUCAAUGUACUUACGAUGGGGAAUUGUUUAAUUUUGACUCCUCUGUGCUUGCUCUUUGAGGUGGUGAACAUAGACAUCCAUUAUAUGAGACACAGACAAGAACGGUUGGACCUAAAAAUAUCAAAAUGGGAAAUACUGAGGAAACAGAGAAACCUACAUCUUGGAUGUGCUUGAGGUAAGCUAAAACAUACCAAAAUUUAAUCUGAGAGUGAGCUAUCCCUUUAAACCCGAAGACUUCUUGUCAGAUAAGAGGUGAGGUGAGCUAAUCACAGACUGAAGACCCAGGUAAAGAAUGAAUUUUUUUCUGUAUCUUAUAGCAUUUUAGUUUUGUACUGUUUGUAGUGUGAUCAACAUUUGCGUAAGUACUAGAUGUGUUGGGGAGGUAGCACUUAACAUUUUAAUUACAUUUUGCUAAAAUGAACGAAAUGACUCGAAAAAAGAUUAGUUCAUUUUGCUGAACGAGACUCAAAAGUCCCAGUAAAAUGAUCCGAACUUCCCAUUACUACUGACUUGGCUCGACACACAAAUGCCUUUUUUUAAAGAGCCACACAGAUGGGAAAUCAAAAAUUACCUGUAUUACAGUGUAUGAUGUAGCUGUCCAUCAGUGUAAACAAUGUGCAAAGUAAUUAAACCAAAAAGUACACGAUUUAUAAAGUUAUUGACUUCUAAAGUAAGAAGUCGACUCUGAAUCGCUGAAAUUAGUCGUUAUGGAUUUCAAAUCUUUUGCCCAUCCCUAUGUACGUCACUAGGAACACUUUGCAUAUUAAUCUACCGUCUUCGGAGAAACUGAACUCUGACCUGCCCCCCCCCCCCACACACAGACACUCUGGUUGGUGUGAUAGCAUCAUGUCGAGGAGACAGUGUGUUUUUAAUUGUAAGGCAAGGCAAGGCAAGUUUAUUUAUAUAGCACAUUUCGUACACAAUGGUAAUUCAAAGUGCUUUACAUAAAAGAAAGUAAAAUAAUCAUGAAGAAAAAUAAUAACAAAAAUAAAACAAGUAAUUUUAAAACUUUUAAAAUGAUUAAAACAUUUAAAAACAGUUAGAAAAUUAUUUUACAUAAAAAUAAUAAUGAUAAAACAAUAAUAAAACAUAAAACCGUGAAAAUAUAGUGCAAUCA